GAAGGAAGGAAGGAAGGAAGGAAGGAAGGAAGGAAGGAAGGAAGGAAGGAAGGAAGGAAGGAAGGAAGGAAGGAAGGAAGGAAGGAAGGAUCUUUUUCCUGAGAGCUUUCAGAAUAAGCCCCCAAGUAGCAGGUUGUUUUGUGGUAUCCCCCAGACUUGAGUGGAUUCUUAGGUAUUCCCUGUUCCAGAAGUGAACACACGGUUCUGACCCUUGGAGUGGGGCCCCUUGGAGAGCCCGGCGCUGGGGAUGGGGCAUGCGGGGAGCUGGGGCCAUACUGGGAAUGCUGGAGCCGCACUGUGAGUGCUGGGGCCGCACUGGGAGUGCUGGGGCCGUACUGGGAAUGCUGGGGCCGUACUGGGAGUGCUGGAGCCGUACUGGGAGUGCUGGAGCCGUACUGGGAGUGCUGGGGCCGUACUGGGAGUGCUGGUGGCAUGGGGAGCCUCCAUGACUGCGGGCGGGAAGGGGUAACGGUGGAAAAGCGGGAGAAGUGUUGGAAUAACGGGGCGUGGAACCCCAUUGUGAGGUAGAUGUGAGGUCGGUCACCCCUAAACCGAGGUGAGAGGUAGCUGGAGUUUGGAGGGACGUCAGGAAAGGGUGGGAGAUGGGGGAUAAGGGGAGGUGGGCAGCGGGAAAGAGGUUCCUAUGGGGAUCCCCGGCUGUCCUCCAUCACUUGCGCCUCGGAGCUGCUCCUCCGGGCUCGGCAGGAGGGAGGCGGAUCCACAUUGGGGAGGGGAGUUCCCAGGCUCCCGGUCAAUCCCUGUGGAGGUGUUUGGAGGGUUGGGGGGGUCACCCCAUUCCGUAGCCGGUGCUGUCGUGGGGUUAGGGUUAGCUUAGGGCGGCCGUGGCGCAGAGCGGGGGAGGAAGAGGAGGAGCAGGAGCAAGACCAGGAGGAGCAAGAAGUAAGAGGGGGGAUGAAAACGGAGGAGGAAGCUCGGGGGUCCCCCGCUCACUGUACCGCCCCCGGCAGCAUCGUCUCCUUCCCCGCAGCGUUCUGCAGGUGAGCUCGCCCUGAACGUCCCGGGGCAGCCCCUGCAGGUGGGAUUUUCUGGGGGUGUCCCGGGGAGUGCGGGGUCCCGCAGCCGUGCGGCGAUCGCACGGAGCCGGCCGUGGGGGACACCGCGCUUUGGGAGAGCCGAGGGGGGAACCCCGGCACCCUGAAAUGGGGCACGGAGGAGGCAGCACCGCCGGCAGCCUGGGGCGGAGAGGGGAGAGCAGAGCGGGCAGCCCGGAGACGGGUGCGAGGGACAAUCACACACCCUGUGAAGAGCCGGUGCUCACAAAGGAGACGGAGGAGCACUGCAACCUUUUCCGAACAAAGGGAGAGAGUCCGCUCGGGCACACCCAUGUGGGCACUCCCCUCAUAAAAGGAGGAUGCAACCUCCUUUUAUCCUAAACUUUUGGCCGCGUACUGCCGUCUUUGUUUCCCCAUUGCCUGAGGUACAGCCUUCCCGAACCACCUACUGCAGAUUCCCCUAAAGCUCAUAAGUUCAAACUGUCUGGGUUCUGCAACAAAGUCAUACAGCUGAAUGUUCCUGAGGGCCUCUGCAUGCAUUCUUUCAGAACGUGAUUGGUUAUUUCAGACCUAGUCUUUUGUGAAGACAUUAAGACCCUUUUCUCUUAUCGGGGGUCCCUGGGAUCCCCAAACAUGCCUAAGAAGAGAGUUAGGGGACAAAGCACCCCUGGGACACCUCAAACAUCUCUAAACAGCACCCAAGCAGAGGGUGCCAGAACCCACGGGAGCCCCAGCAGCCCAGUGAAGGGGCACCUCCAGAGCCCCAGAAAGAGACAACUAGGAAGGGAGAACUGCUGUGAGGGUUUUUGACACUGAGUGUUCAUGUUUCUGAGGCAUUUAGAUAUACAAGAUGACCAUACAGAUAUACAUGAGAUGGACUGGGGUAGGAGAACCCCAAUCCAAUGAGCUCAUACCUUGAUUUCUUUCAGCCAAAACAGAAUUUGUCAUUCCCAAGCCUUGGCUGGAUGGGGAAGACUGUGGGGAAGAUACUCCAGGACAGCCAGGCAGGGCAGGAGGAAUCACUGCCCCUUUCCCCUCUCUGCUGCUCCAUCUCCCAGCCCAGCAUCGCUGCAGGACAGCCUCACUGCCAACGCCAUCCUGCCAGGGAUGGACUGGGGGGAUCUCCUUUCCCUUCCCUCUGCCAUGGAGGCAAAUCUCCUUUCUCACCUUCUUCCUUCUUCUCUCUCCUUGUCCUUUUCCUUCCUACUGCUUGUUCCUUCCUCCCCCCGGCACGGGGCUGUGGACGGAGACCAGAGAGAGCAGAUCCCCAUGGCAGUACCUUAAGAAAAAGGCCAUUUUUAGUGGCUCCACAGCACAUGAAGUCAACAGGGAGGAAAAGCCAUGGAGAUCCCCCACAAGGAGGGCCUGCAAACCCAGCCCGUGGUGCUCUGAGGAGGAAAGAACCACCCUGUGUUGGGAAGGCAGCUGACCUGGCGGUUGACCAGAUGCUUCAUGAUGGGGACAAAUCCUACAAGGGCUUCUUGGAAUGUGGGAAGAGCUUCAGCAACAGCUCCAACCUCCUCAUCCACCACUGGAUGCACGUGGCCCUGUGAGUGUGAGGAAUGUGGGAAGAGCUUCACUCAGAGCUCCAGCCUGGGCUGCCCCCAGAAGAUCCACACAGGGAACAGCCCUGGAAGUGUUUGGACUGUGGGAAGAGCUUUAUCCAGAGCUUCAGCCUGAUGUGCCAACAGAAGAUCCGCACGAGGAAUGGCCCUACCCCCCGUACUCGGAAUGCAGAAAGAGAUUCGGCCUCCUCUUCCAUCUGAUCUACCAGCAGUGUCCACGCUAGGGAACAGUCCUACAUACGCUUGGAAUGCAGGGAGAGCUUCAGGUGAGGCACCUGCCUGGACUGCCACCAGAGCACCCACACUGGGGAACAGCCCUGCAUGUGCAGGGAGUGUGGAAAGAGCUUUAGUGACUGCUCCAACCUGAUCUGCCACCCGAACAUCCACACCAGCAGGAGGCUCUGUGAGUGUCCCCAGGGUGGGAGGAGCUGCUGCAGCUCUGCCUUGACCCAACACCAACAGUCCCACGGGUAAGGGAAGCCCUGUGAGUGCCCUGCCUGCAGGGAGAGCUUUGUGCACUGCUCCAAGCUCACCCAUUGGAGAACCCACAUUGUGUUAUCUACGGUGACCAUGCUGGGACUUGAAUCAGCCUGGUGAGUCAAGCUGGUCACAGACAUGGUAAUCCAGCACUGGCAGAGACCAAGAUUUUGGAGACAAUUUUGUGGGAACCCCUCCAAAAAAAGCUCUUUCACCCACCCAACCCAAUCCGACCCAACCCAAACCCACGGAUACUCAAACAAUGCUGACAUGUAAAUUCUUUAA